UACGUAGGGACCAAGCGUUGUUCGGAUUUACUGGGCGUAAAGGGCGCGUAGGCGGCGUGUUAAGUCACUUGUGAAAUCUCUAAGCUUAACUUAGAACGGUCAAGUGAUACUGAUGUGCUAGAGUGCAGAAGGGGCAACCGGAAUUCUUGGUGUAGCGGUGAAAUGCGUAGAUAUCUGGAGGAACACCGGUGGCGAAGGCGGCGUCCUGGACCAAUACUGACACUGAACAGCGAAAGCCAGGGGAGCAAACGGG
rnacentral:rRNA from 1 species